UUCUCCCGCCUAUAUACCGCCGUCGUCAGCUUACCCUGUGAGGGCCUAAUAGUAAGCAAAAUUGGCAUCGCCCAGAACGUCAGGUCGAGGUGUAGCGCAUGAGAGGGGAAGAAAUGGGCUACAUUCGCUAAUACAGCGAAUACGAACGAUGUAUUGAAAACGUACAUCCGAAGGAGGAUUUAGCAGUAAGCGGAAAAUAGAGUGUUCCGCUGAAAUCGGCUCUGAAGUGCGUACACACCGCCCGUCACUCUCCCCAAGCACUCCAACUUAGAUUAACUAAACCCAUUUAACCGCGAAGGGGAGGCAAGUCGUAACAUGGUAAGUGUACCGGAAGGUGCACUUGGAAAAA
rnacentral:rRNA from 1 species